UGUAGACGAUCUGCUACAUCUCUGUACAAAUCGGUGUAGUUGUUACGAGAAGGUGUGCGAGUGCAUUGUAUCAUGUUGUUGAAAGUGGUCGAUAACUCUUGAUGAUUUAAGGACCAGCAUUUCUUCAUGAACAAUUGUUCUCAGUAAGUCUGAUGAGUGCUAGAAUAUGUUGGUAAUCUGGUUCAGAAUGCGGAGCUUUUCACAUGGACACAUGGAGCCAUUGUGCGUCAACUCCUCACUAACUAUGAAGAGAUUGAUGAGGUUAACAAGCAGCUUGACACCAUGGGCUACAACAUUGGUGCUCGUCUUGUAGAUGAUUUCUUGGUGAAAGCAAACAUCACAAAGUGUACAAACUUCAGAGAGACUGCAGAAGUCAUUUCUAAGGGCAUCCAAUUACCAAAGAAAACGCAAAUGCAACUGGCCUUGCACAACCCAAAAAAGAAAGGUACUAGCAGUCUUAAUUUGAUGUUGCUAAAGGUUGUCAUUCAUGUGUCUAGUGCAGAGUCUGAGACUGCAGAAUCAAGGUGGAUUUUAUGAUGUUUUUAUGAUCUAAAAACAAAUUAUUAAACUACAAUGUCUCAAAGUAUUAAUCUCUCCAACUGUAACCAUACAUUUUGUCAUCAUAAACAAGGUUUAAGUCAUGUUUUGUGACAAGCUUUGAUGU